ACACUGGCCAUUAUAAUACAACCUGAUAAGUAUUACAUUUAUCAGAUUGUAUUGUAAUUGUCUGUGUA
rnacentral:pre_miRNA from 1 species